rnacentral:rRNA from 1 species
GUGGGGAAUAUUGCGCAAUGGGCGAAAGCCUGACGCAGCGACGCAGCGUGAGGGACGAAGGCCUUCGGGUUGUAAACCUCUUUCAGCGGGGACGAAGCGAAAGUGACGGUACCCGCAGAAGAAGCACCGGCUAACUACGUGCCAGCAGCCGCGGUAAUACGUAGGGUGCAAGCAUUGUCCGGAUUUAUUGGGCGUAAAGAGCUCGUAGGCGGCUUGUCACGUCGGAUGUGAAAACUCGGGGCUCAACCCCGAGCCUGCAUUCGAUACGGGCUAGCUAGAGUGUUGCAGGGGAGACUGGAAUUCCUGGUGUAGCGGUGAAAUGCGCAGAUAUCAGGAGGAACACCGGUGGCGAAGGCGGGUCUCUGGGCAACUACUGACGCUGAGGAGCGAAAGCGUGGGGAGCGAACAGGAUUAGAUACCCUGGUAGUCC